UAUAAAGCAGUGUAAGUGCACAAAGAAUUUUGAUUUCUUAAGAGAGAUGUUUAUUUUCUUCUUUAUAGG
rnacentral:tRNA from 1 species